rnacentral:rRNA from 1 species
UCGGGAAUUUUGGGCAAUGGGCGAAAGCCUGACCCAGCAACGCCGCGUGAAGGAUGAAGUAUUUCGGUAUGUAAACUUCGAAAGAAUAGGAAGAAUAAAUGACGGUACUAUUUAUAAGGUCCGGCUAACUACGUGCCAGCAGCCGCGGUAAUACGUAGGGACCAAGCGUUGUUCGGAUUUACUGGGCGUAAAGGGCGCGUAGGCGGCAAUUCAAGUCAUCUGUGAAAUCUCCGGGCUUAACUCGGAACGGUCAGAUGAUACUGCUUUGCUAGAGUGCAGAAGGGGCAAUCGGAAUUCUUGGUGUAGCGGUGAAAUGCGUAGAUAUCUGGAGGAAUACCGGUGGCGAAGGCGGCAUCCUGGACCAUUACUGACGCUGAGGCGCGAAAGCUAGGGGAGCAAACGGGAUUAGAUACCCUCGUAGUCCCUGAGCGGGCUGGCAAGGCGCAU